UCUGAUAUAUUUAAUUCACUCAAAUCGGUUCUCGUAUGAGCAAAACUGAGAUUUCCGUGACUUCAAUUAUUAUUCAAUAAAAAACUCAACUAACCCGCCUCUCCAAAUAUCAUUCCAGACACCAUCUCGUUGGACGACGAUUCCUGCUUUGCUACCCUUUCCAGCUGCUAUCAGAUCAGUUGAAGCUUCCGAAUGUUGGUGGUUUCACAAUCCGUCGUCAACAGCCUCAAACUGAAACCUGUUGCGGGUCGUGCACUGACUGGGGUUGACAUAAAACCGACCAUCAGUACACCGAAACUGGUUCCGAAAAAACAACUCCCGCGGUAGCGGUACCAUCAUCGUCAUCAACGAGCCCCUCGCCAACCGGUUCGCGUGCUUCACAAUUCAGCUCCGCCAAAUCGUCCAGUUAGAGAGCAUCACCGUCGGGAAAAACAGCAAUGGUCCUCUCCAGACGAAAACCAUCGACGGCGUCAACUGUCUCAGAGACUGAAUCACUGGAUCUCUGACUCUGAUAGUUUUUCCAUCGAUGGCCCAACUCCGAUGGGAUUGACUCGGUACAGUAUCUGCAAUCGGAACUUUGCAGGCGAACGGAUUACGAAACAUCGGGAAAUUUGCAUGAAGACAAAGAGCAAAAAUCUGUUGCAGACGAUAAAACAGCUCAUCUUUGCAAAAAGAAACCGGAUGCGAGUGAUUGUAAAAAUAUAUGAUAUAAUGAUAUCACGUCGCCCUCACUGUGGAGGAUCAGCCGAACGAGCCUAGCACUCCUCCAGAGUUAACCGACAAGGAGAACGAAUCAGAGCGGACAAAGGUUCUCCCUGAGGUAGUUCAUUGGGCCAUUUACGGGGAAUGAGUGGACCCGGCGAUUAUUCGCCCCGUCGCUAGGGAGGUUCCAUCUAAAGAGCAAAGCUUAUCUCCCUGGCAAAUUGUCCAGCAGCAAACUGUAACAUCGGUUGUUGUGUUCCCGGCCGGUUGACAGCAGAGCGUCAAGUAAUAGCAGCAAUAGGAGGGAACUCGAGGGAAAUAGGUACGGGAAACUUAUUUGUUUUGUUUACUUUUGUGUCUUUUUGGCAGAAGCACCUAGGCCGCCCUGACAACAAGGGUCUGUCGAGCAGGCACCAGCACAGGUUAUUUGUUAUUUAACAUCAAAAUCUUAAGACCUGCUCAACACAAGAAUUUAGACUCAUGACUUCACCAUCUGGGCUCCAUCCCAUAUCUCAACCUAUCAAUAGAUGGAACGAGACUAACUGUGUUAUUUCCCUUCCGAAGGAAGACGUGACCAAGCAUUUUGCAACUCAGAAAAUCGCAACAACCUCGACUUGGAUUUGUAAUCCGCUAUGGUAACAAUUGAGAACUGGGUGGAAAUAUACUUAUUUUUGUUUAUACACUCCGUAGCGUGUAUUUGUUUACGCAACAUUUUGCUCACAAUUAUUUUCUACCGUUCUCGUUUAGUUGUAAAUUUUUGUUCCUUUUCGCGUUUGUAAUCGGUUUGGUUCGUGUAGAUAGGUUAGAUCAUUUUUGCGGCAAAAAGUUGAUUAAUUAACCAAUUCGGUGCGUGUGUGUGACGGUGAAAAUCCCACUCGAAAAGUGCCGAUCUGUGGUUUGGGUACUUGUGUGUAUGGUGUUGGUUCGCCGAAGGGGGACAGUUAACCGUAAUAGAGUGAUCUCGCGUUCCCGGCUAAAACGCAAGGAAUCAAACAUCAACCGUUUUCACUGUGGAGGAUCAGUCGAACGGUCGCCAGCUGGCGUAGUAAGCGAUCCGGUCCUUUAUCACCACUGUCGCUAGGGAGGAUCUAUCAAAGGAGUCUUGCUCACCUUCCUAGCUAAAAACCAAGGACCGUUUCUGUAGCAGCCAAUGAAAACUGCAGGUGAACGCGACCGUUGGGAUCCGAACCGGUCGGA